rnacentral:rRNA from 1 species
GAGUUUGAUCGUGGCUCAGAUUGAACGCUGGCGGCAUGCCUUACACAUGCAAGUCGAACGGCAGCACGGGAGCUUGCUCCUGGUGGCGAGUGGCGAACGGGUGAGUAAUGCAUCGGAACGUAUCCUGGAGUGGGGGAUAACGUAGCGAAAGUUACGCUAAUACCGCAUAUUCUGUGAGCAGGAAAGCGGGGGACCUUCGGGCCUCGCGCUCUUGGAGCGGCCGAUGUCGGAUUAGCUAGUUGGUGAGGUAAAGGCUCACCAAGGCGACGAUCCGUAGCAGGUCUGAGAGGAUGAUCUGCCACACUGGAACUGAGACACGGUCCAGACUCCUACGGGAGGCAGCAGUGGGGAAUUUUGGACAAUGGGAGCAACCCUGAUCCAGCCAUGCCGCGUGAGUGAAGAAGGCCUCGGUUGUAAGAC